UCCAGAUCCUGUGUGACCUGCACGAUGGC
rnacentral:piRNA from 2 species